CGCCCCGCAGGGGAGCGGCAGUACGGGUGAGUAACGCGUGGGAAUCUACCCAUCUCUACGGAACAACUCCGGGAAACUGGAGCUAAUACCGUAUACGUCCUUCGGGAGAAAGAUUUAUCGGAGAUGGAUGAGCCCGCGUUGGAUUAGCUAGUUGGUGGGGUAAUGGCCUACCAAGGCGACGAUCCAUAGCUGGUCUGAGAGGAUGAUCAGCCACACUGGGACUGAGACACGGCCCAUACUCCUACGGGAGGCAGCAGUGGGGAAUAUUGGACAAUGGGCGAAAGCCUGAUCCAGCCAUGCCGCGUGAGUGAUGAAGGCCCUASGGUUGUAAAGCUCUUUCACCGGUGAAGAUAAUGACGGUAACCGGAGAAGAAGCCCCGGCUAACUUCGUGCCAAGCAGCCGCGGUAAUACGAAGGGGGCU
rnacentral:rRNA from 1 species